UCCAGCUUAAAGCCGGCAGUCUCCGGUGAAAAAUAUAACACCGGAUGAGGGUUUCGCUCGUUUACGGACUUAACCGUACAUCUCACGACACAAGCUGACGACGACUGUGCAACACCUGUCAUCGGGUUCCUUGCGGCACGGUCCGCUUUCGCGGACUUUCCCGAGAUGUCAAGCCUGGGUGAGGUGCCCCGCUUGUCGUCGAAUUAAACCACAUGCUCCACCGCUUGUGCGAGCCCCCGUCAAUUCCUUUGAGUUUUAGUCUUGCGACCGUACUUCCCAGGCGGCACACUUAACGCGUUAGCUUCGGCACAAGAAGGGUCGAUACUCCCAAUGCCUAGUGUGCAUCGUUUACGGCGUGGACUAC
rnacentral:misc_RNA from 1 species